GGACGAUUAGCUCAGCUGGUUAGAGCGUCACAUUGACAUUGUGAAGGUCAGUGGU
rnacentral:tRNA from 1 species